GAUGAACGCUGGCGGCGUGCCUAAUACAUGCAAGUCGAGCGAACGGACGAGAAGCUUGCUUCUCUGAUGUUAGCGGCGGACGGGUGAUUAACACGUGGAUAACCUACCUAUAAGACUGGGAUAACUUCGGGAAACCGGAGCUAAUACCGGAUAAUAUUUUGAACCGCAUGGUUCAAAAGUGAAAGACGGUCUUGCUGUCACUUAUAGAUGGAUCCGCGCUGCAUUAGCUAGUUGGUAAGGUAACGGCUUACCAAGGCAACGAUGCAUAGCCGACCUGAGAGGGUGAUCGGCCACACUGGAACUGAGACACGGUCCAGACUCCUACGGGAGGCAGCAGUAGGGAAUCUUCCGCAAUGGGCGAAAGCCUGACGGAGCAACGCCGCGUGAGUGAUGAAGGUCUUCGGAUCGUAAAACUCUGUUAUUAGGGAAGAACAUAUGUGUAAGUAACUGUGCACAUCUUGACGGUACCUAAUCAGAAAGCCACGGCUAACUACGU
rnacentral:rRNA from 1 species